GAUGAACGCUGGCGGCGUGCCUAAUACAUGCCAGUCGAGUGAACGGAUGAGAAGCUUGCUUCUCUGAUGUUAGCGGCGGACGGGUGAGUAACACGUGGAUAACCUACCUAUAAGACUGGGAUAACUUCGGGAAACCGGAGCUAAUACCGGAUAAUAUUUUGAACCGCAUGGUUCAAAAGUGAAAGACGGUCUUGCUGUCACUUAUAGAUGGAUCCGCGCUGCAUUAGCUAGUUGGUAAGGUAACGGCUUACCAAGGCAACGAUGCAUAGCCGACCUGAGAGGGUGAUCGGCCACACUGGAACUGAGACACGGUCCAGACUCCUACGGGAGGCAGCAGUAGGGAAUCUUCCGCAAUGGGCGAAAGCCUGACGGAGCAACGCCGCGUGAGUGAUGAAGGUCUUCGGAUCGUAAAACUCUGUUAUUAGGGAAGAACAUAUGUGUAAGUAACUGUGCACAUCUUGACGGUACCUAAUCAGAAAGCCACGGCUAACUACGUG
rnacentral:rRNA from 1 species